UCCUCUUGCACAUGCACCCCCAUGCUGACACUCUCCACCAGGCCCUCCAUUCUCCAUGCUUUGCACCCAAACCCCCAUGCUCAGGCAGCUCUCUGUCAGGAAUGCUGUCUGCCUCUCCUCUGCCUGGAAAGCUCUUACUCAUCCCUAGAUUCCUUCCUCCAGAUAGCUCUCAUCACCUCCCAUCAGCAUUUAAAAGGGCCCUGUGCUGGGAUCCCACAGAAUGGUCCCACCAUGCAAGAUACACACACCAUACCUGCCUGGUGGAUAAUCCACCUUGACUGCCCCUCCCCCUCCACUGCUCUCCACCUGGCCCUCAGCUGGGCUCCUCUACCCUCUGAAUCUGGUUGGCUCAGCAAAUGUGAGGCACCAGCAAUGACGGAGUGGGAGGGGGGAAGGAGUGAGGUGGGUGUUGAGUUUCCCGCUUCCUCCCUGCUGGCCAGCCCCAUGGCCCUGCCUGGAGUUCUCUUCCUAAUACCACAGCUCUGGCAAGACUCCUUCCUCUUGUCCUCUAUCCUCUGAGGGUAGUCGCGGCUUCCCUCUUGCUACCCCAUCUCUUGUUAGUGCCUCAACCUGGUCCCCAUGCAGUAAAUGCUCCUUUCACUGUGCCCACUUCUGCUGUCCUCAAAUUGUUCUUGACAGGGCCCUGAUCUGAUACCCAUCUCCAUUCCCACAACUCUAAUAUGAGCUCCCAGGGGGCACAAGGGCUGAGUGCUUUCAUUCUGUUUGAUUUUGUUUCUAAUCUCAGAACCCCAGUGGUCAGCACUGAUAAGAACUAGAACAUGGGCAAGGUUCAGGGAAAGCUCACUGAAAAAAUGGAUGAAAGAAUAAAGAAUGGAUGGAUGCACUUGCCAAUAGAGGGAAAGACAGAUGGGCGGGUGGACAGAUGCAUCCAUGUAUGAUGGCAGGACGUUCAGACUCCACUUUUGCAAACAUUAAUAACCACUGAAAUUCCUUGAAUGCUCGCUACUUGUCAGGCAUGGCUCCAAGCCUCCACCCGCUCUCUAGCCCGUAAGGCAAGAGAGGUUUUCAUGAGAAAAGAGAAGCUCGGAAGGGUUAGGUCACUUGCUCAAGGUCACAGCUGGGAAGUGGCAAGGCCAGGAUUUGGUCCCACCAGCCUCCAGAGUCUGCAAGUCUGAUAACAGGGAAAUGUGGCUGGAUGACUCCAAGGUCCAACACUGCCGCAGGGAUACUCCCCCAGGGCCUCUCCUAUCCCAUGCCUGCCUCUGACCCCCAGGCCCUGGGGGGCCCUUGCUCUUGGCACAGUGGGUGUGGCUUCAGAUGCUUCCCUCUGAGACCACCCCCACCCCCACCCACCCUGCACUCUGAGGACAUCUGGUUUGUACCUGUGGGGCCCAGAGAGGCACCAGGCCCCUUCCACUCCAAACUGACGAGACCUUGUUUAUCUCUUAAGCAGGCAGGAGCUUUGCAGGUCUUUGGGUUUCUGCUCAAAGGAAAAAUCUCCUCCCCAGGGAACUGCUGGGCUUGUGAAGAACAGCCUUAGGCACCUGCUCCCAGUUCUGGCUCUAGAGACACAGGCGUGGCCCAUGAUCCCAGCUCUGGAGUAUUGUGCUGGACCCUUCCCCUCUGAGCCUCCGUAAACCAGGACCCCUAGUGCUUCCCCACUGGAAGGUGCGAGCAGGAGAUGAGAGGUCAUAUAAUUAAACUGCACAGGUAGUGAACAGCCAUCACCAUCACUCUCUCACGUGCCUGGCUCACCUGCUCCCUUUUCCACAACCAUUUCGGCAGAACUGUUUGAUUUAGCCAUCUCUGUAAGGACAGCCAAGAACCUUUCCUCCUCAUUUGGCAAAUUAGGAAAUUGAAACACAGAGAGCUUAAGGGGCCUGUCAGAGGUCACGCAGCAGGACGGAGGCAAAGCAGGGCUCAAACCCCAGGAAAUCCCUGCCACUUCCCAGCACCCCAUGUCCCCCACCGCACCUGGCCCCAGGCUCAGCUCUGUUGGGGGAGCAGCAGGCAUUAUUUAUUUCCUGCAUUAUUUAUGCAUGGCACGUUUGGAACAGGGCCCUUGGUGAUUAAAGCGCCUCGGGACAGAAAAGCCGAGCUGAAACAUGAGUGAAAAUAUUAAAAGGAAAACAAAACAGCAGCAUCAACAGGGAUGUCUCCCGGUGAAAGCGCAGGAAUACUGCUGAGGACGUGACCUCAUCUCAGGCACUCAGGAGGUGACAGCGUCACCUUGGAUUCUUCUUCUGGAUUCUAGUCACCCUAGGAUCUGGUCAACCAAUGUCAUCAUCUACAAUCUCUAGAGUUCUGGGGUCAGGCACACCUGAUUUGCAUCCCAGCUCUGCCAGUUCUAGCUGUGUGACCUUGGACAGGUGAACUUGCCUCUCUGGGCCACAGGAUGCUGGCUGCUGGGGGCAGCUAAGGAGUAGGUGAAAUGCUGGAGGUGAAGGCACAAGCAGAAGACCUGCUACAUUUUAGCCUGAAUCAGCAAUAGAUUUCUAUUCUUCGUUUACAUUCUAAAAAGCUUUUUUAUAUACAGUUUAGAGAGGGUGAGUAUUCAAGCUCUGCAGCAGGAGGUCUGCAACACAAGCCUGGCUCCAACUCUUGUGAUCAGAGAGAAGGUUAUAUAACAUUUCAACAUCUCAUUUUCCAUGUUUUUAAUUGGGGCUAACCAUCACCUCUAUACCUGAGUUGUGUGAGGUUUAAAUGGGAUAAUACAUACAGGGGCUUGUCACAGUGCCUGACACAGGACAUGCACUCCAUAACUGUUACUAAUAUUUCCCAUCUUCCCAACAUGCAUCCUUGGUAGUCAGGAUAUGGAUCAUUGUCCCUUUUUGCAAGUGAUGGAAGUCAGGCUCAAGGGGAUGAAAUGGCUUGACCAGGUCACAAAGCCAGGUACUGGCAGGGCCGUGACCUCUGCAGCGGGCUCCUGACUCUGUCGGUACCUGAUCCAUGACAAGAAUCCUAAGGUCAUUUAUUCACAGAAGCCUGUGUUCUUGGUCAGCUCUGCCCAAGUGAAAUAGACUGGAAGACCGUUCGUUUAAAAAAAAAAAAACAAAAACAAAAACAAACAACCCUAGUCCACAGCUUCAGGCUGAUUCUGGUUUCAAACCCUCUCCCUAGCUGUGUGACCUUGGUUGGUUUACCUAACCUCUCUGGGCUUCAGUUUUUCAGAUUUAAUUUGGCGGUAUGAUUACUGCCUAUUCCUCAGGGUGGCCACGAGCGGGAAAUGAGGAUAGGUGUAAAAGUGCCCAGUACUGUGCCAAAGACACAGCGAGGGCUCAGAAAAUGCCAUCAUUCCCUCCCCUGCCCCCAUCAGUGCAUCUGUUGUUGCCUCCCCUGGGGCUCCUGGCACCAGCUUCAUGCCCAGCCAGAGGGACCUGAAUGACUGGCGGAACCUGACAUUCUGGCUGACAGAACAGCUUCGUCUCCAUCAGCCUGCCCCGGCAUCCCAGGCACCUGCCACAGCAAGGUCCUUCUACCUAGACACGGGGAGCUAAUGAGACCACGAGGGGGCUGGGACAGGCCAGCCCAAGCCCCCAGGUCCUGCCUUUCUCUUCCUUUCCCCUUUCCUUCUCUCAGCUCUGAUUCCUCUCUCCUUCCCUUCAUCCCUUUUGAAACUUUCAAGGAAGCAGCCUAAGCCCUCUGAUGAUGAUUCAAAAAUGAUUAACAUCAAAGAUGUACAAGGGGACUCAGAGCAUCUUACUCUGC
ensembl:lncRNA